rnacentral:misc_RNA from 1 species
GAUGAAGAACGUAGCGAAAUGCGAUACUUGGUGUGAAUUGCAGAAUCCCGUGAACCAUCGAGUCUUUGAACGCAAGUUGCGCCCGAAGCCACUAGGCCGAGGGCACGCCUGCCUGGGCGUCACACGCCGUUGCCCCCCCAUCUACUCCUUCGGGAUUGCGGGGGGGCGGAUGAUGGCCUCCCGUGCGCCUAGCCGCGCGGUUGGCAUAAAUACCAAGUCCUCGGCGACGCACGCCACGACAAUCGGUGGUUGCGAAACCUCGGUUGCCCGUCGUGUGCGUUCGUCGCGCAUCNNGGGCUCGAAAAAAUGCUCGGCUCCGGCUGGGCUUUCAACGCGACCCCAGGUCAGGCGGGGUUACCCGCUGAAUUUAAGCAUAUCAAUAAGCGGAGGA